rnacentral:rRNA from 1 species
CAUGUAGGCGGUUUGAUAAAUUAGGAGUGAGAUGCCUGGGCUUAACCCGGGAAUUGCUUUUAAGACUGUCAGACUUGAGUCCGUGAGAGGACAGUGGAAUUCCCAGUGUAGAGGUGAAAUUCGUAGAUAUUGGGAAGAACACCAGUAGCGAAGGCGACUGUCUGGUGCGGUAUUGACGCUGAGAUGCGAAAGCGUGGGGAGCAAACA